rnacentral:rRNA from 1 species
GAUGAACGCUGGCGGCGUGCCUAAUACAUGCAAGUCGAGCGAACAGACGAGGAGCUUGCUCCUCUGACGUUAGCGGCGGACGGGUGAGUAACACGUGGAUAACCUACCUAUAAGACUGGGAUAACUUCGGGAAACCGGAGCUAAUACCGGAUAAUAUAUUGAACCGCAUGGUUCAAUAGUGAAAGACGGUUUUGCUGUCACUUAUAGAUGGAUCCGCGCCGCAUUAGCUAGUUGGUAAGGUAACGGCUUACCAAGGCAUCGAUGCGUAGCCGACCUGAGAGGUGGUUCGGCAACACGGGACCGGGGACCCGGUCCAGCCUCCGACGGGGGGCACAAGAGGGGAACUUCCGGCAAUGGCCGAAGGCCUGACGGAGCAAGCCCGCGUGGGUGAUAAAGGUCUUGGGAUCGAAAAACUGUUUUAUUAGGGAAAAACAAAUGUGUAAGAAACUCUGCCCGUCUUGACGGUACCUAAUAAGAAAGCCACGGCAACCUACGUG